UACGGGGGGGGCGAGCGUUGUUCGGAAUUACUGGGCGUAAAGGGCGCGUAGGCGGUCUGCUAAGUUGGAUGUGAAAACUCUGGGCUUAACCCAGAGCCUGCAUUCAAAACUGACAGGCUAGAGUUCUGGAGGGGAUAGCGGAAUUCCUGGUGUAGCGGUGAAAUGCGUAGAUAUCGUCUGGAACGCCGAAGGUGAAAGCAGCUCGCUGGGGUUGUGCUGACGCUGAGACACGAAAGCCAGGGGAGCGAACGGG
rnacentral:rRNA from 1 species